GACAUGACUCUCGACAAUGGAUAUCUCGGCUCUCGCAUCGAUGAAGAGCGCAGCGAAAUGCGAUACGUGGUGCGAAUUGCAGAAUCCCGCGAACCAUUGAGUCUUUGAACGCAAGUUGCGCCCGAGGCCAACCAGCUGAGGGCACGUCUGCCUGGGCGUCAAGU
rnacentral:rRNA from 1 species